CAAGUGUAUGAGAAGGUAGAUCUAACGACUUUUUAACGAAACUAGUGUAUGAGAAGGUAGAUCUGGCCAGCAAUAGAAGCUGUAAUUGCUGCCAACCGACAGUUGUCUCUGUCGAACAGCCGGAGAGAAAGAGACAUCUAAACUGGUAGAUAAUUAAUCUAUGGAUGCGUUUGCGAGAAGCAAUUAAACCACAAUAAUUGUCCAGUUAAAAUUGGAGAAAGUAGAGCAUACAAACCAGCUCUCCAUCUCUGUGUGUUGCAGAAAAGUUAAGAUGGAUGCACCCAGCGCGCAGGAGAUAUCGUACAUGGAGCACGUCCAGAAGAGACACGAGGAGAAGGGCUGUCUCUAUGCCUGUCUGUUUACCGCCUGUUGCUGCUUUUGCUGCUUCGAGACCUGCGAGUGCUGCCUCGAGUGCCUCUGCUGCUGCUUCUGAUCAAUUUUAGCCGCUCACGCAGAGCCUGAAGCUCUGUCGAUCAAUAAAUUAAAGGAACAUAGUGUGGUAGCUGUUUUGCUGGUUUAUUGAUUUGGAUCCGAACUCUGCUCGAGUUCCCCCGUGUAGUGAGUGCUGGAAUUGUUUGUGAAUUCUGCUUCAGUUCCUUGUUUGUCAGUAAUAUAACGUAUCCCUCCACGUUAAUCAGAA